CGUCGUAGCGGAUGAAGGGAGCUUGCUCCCGGAUUCAGCGGCGGACGGGUGAGUAAUGCCUAGGAAUCUGCCUGGUAGUGGGGGACAACGUUCCGAAAGGAGCGCUAAUACCGCAUACGUCCUACGGGAGAAAGUGGGGGAUCUUCGGACCUCACGCUAUCAGAUGAGCCUAGGUCGGAUUAGCUAGUAGGUGGGGUAAUGGCUCACCUAGGCGACGAUCCGUAACUGGUCUGAGAGGAUGAUCAGUCACACUGGAACUGAGACACGGUCCAGACUCCUACGGGAGGCAGCAGUGGGGAAUAUUGGACAAUGGGCGAAAGCCUGAUCCAGCCAUGCCGCGUGUGUGAAGAAGGUCUUCGGAUUGUAAAGCACUUUAAGUUGGGAGGAAGGGCAGUAAGUUAAUACCUUGCUGUUUUGACGUUACCAACAGAAUAAGCACCGGCUAACUUCGUGCCAGCAGCCGCGGUAAUACGAAGGGUGCAAGCGUUAAUCGGAAUUACUGGGCGUAAAGCGCGCGUAGGUGGUUUGGUAAGAUGGAUGUGAAAUCCCCGGGCUCAACCUGGGAACUGCAUCCAUAACUGCCUGACUAGAGUACGGUAGAGGGUGGUGGAAUUUCCUGUGUAGCGGUGAAAUGCGUAGAUAUAGGAAGGAACACCAGUGGCGAAGGCGACCACCUGGACUGAUACUGACACUGAGGUGCGAAAGCGUGGGGAGCAAACAGGAUUAGAUACCCUGGUAGUCCACGCCGUAAACGAUGUCGACUAGCCGUUGGGAUCCUUGAGAUCUUAUUGGCGCAGCUAACGCGAUAAGUCGACCGCCUGGGGAGUACGGCCGCAGUUAAAACUCAAAUGAAUUGACGGGGGCCCGCACAGCGUGAGCAUGUGCUCAUUCGAGCAACGCGAAAACUUUACCUGGUCUUGACAUGUCCGGAAUCUUGAAGAGAUUCG
rnacentral:rRNA from 1 species